rnacentral:rRNA from 1 species
ACUUCGGGAAACCGGAGCUAAUACCGGAUAAUAUUUUGAACCGCAUGGUUCAAAAGUGAAAGACGGUCUUGCUGUCACUUAUAGAUGUAUCCGCGCUGCAUUAGCUAGUUGGUAAGGUAACGGCUUACCAAGGCAACGAUGCAUAGCCGACCUGAGAGGGUGAUCGGCCACACUGGAACUGAGACACGGUCCAG